rnacentral:lncRNA from 1 species
AAUGCUAUAUAAGCAAGCAUAACAUCAGUCCUUUACUCAAGAUUUCUUAUGACCUUUUAGGUGUUCAAUGACCAUGGGAUCUCUGGACGGUGCUGUGUACAACAUGCUGUGGACCGAGGGCCUCAAAGUUCAAUGGGGACUAAGACUUCCUAACAUCUCAGUGACCCCCCGCCUACAGAUAUAAGAAACUCAGCUCGGAAUAUACGUGUUUAUGGAUGACGACUGACUGUGCCUAUCCUGUCCUUCGGACUUCAGCUCAAUCCUAAUCCCUUUCAGAGAAGUAUCACUUGACAUCUCAAAAGCAGUAAAACCCUCUUUGGCACUUGUGACAUUUGCUUUUUUACAUGGACUUUUAUGAUUUUUUUUAAUGCUAAAUUUUAAGCUCUAGGAGAGCAGAGAACAUGUCUGGUUUUGUUCAUGUUUGCAUACCCAAUUCUCACCCAGGGCCUCAAAAACAAAUGUCAGGCAUAUAACAUAUAUAUACUGAACCCCUAACUGAGCCUAGUGUCUGUACCUCACAGAAAAAAAAAUCAGACUUCCACCUCACUGCCCUUUUUCUCACUUCUUUCA